GACAACCCUGUGAACUAGACGCUGUUAUCUUGAGAUAAUCUAUCUAGGUUAAAGAACCUAGCACUAACGUAUUCCCUAAAUUUUAAUUGAAUCAGAACGGUAUGGUCUAACCCCUCAUUUUACACAUGAAGGCACUUAUAAUAGUGAAGUGACUGGUUGACAUUAAGCACCACUUUUACAGUUGUGUUUCCAGUUCGUCUUUCCACAGAGCUGGUCCCUGGCCUAUUAGUUUUCUGGGCAUGUUUGAUCCAAAGGGCAACAGACCUCCAAAUAGCCAUUUUUCUGGCUAUUCUACUUCCAUACUCUGCUCCAAGUUUGUGUCUUCUUCCUCCAUACUCUUAAGCCAGUACGCCUUUUCAAAAAGGGAUUGUCAAUAAAAGCAUUAUUUCCAAACACCCGUUGCCUCUACAACACAGCCCAUUGCUGAUGGGCAUUUCCCAUCUGUUCGCUGGGAUCUGGGCAGUUCCUUUGGUGCAUGCACUCAGUGAUUGCCAAAUCAGUGAGUUAUUUAUUUAUAAUAAAAUUGCAUCCGGCAGACAAUUACCUUCAGAGAUCUUGGGCAUUACACAGAGCUGGGACUUGGCAAAUAGUUGGACAGAUAAAGAGUUUCCCAUCAAGUUGUAUUCCCACGACCUGGUGUGAGCAGCCUCUGACUCGUGCCAUGAUCUUUUCUCAGAAGCCCUGAUUCAUGUUCUAAUGAUUUAAGAGGUUUAUAAGCAUACAAGGCUUUCUGCUUAUGCUGGGUAUGAACUAGCCUCUCCAAAAUAAGGAGUAAGCAUAUCCCUUCCUUUGUUCCUGGAUUAGAAGCCUGGUGGGGGUAUUCAAUCAAUCUUUCCUCUGAGCAGCUCCCAGGCGUGUAUGAUACAUGGUUGGCAGGUGAUUCGUUGUUCUCCAGUGAUUUCCUGUGUGUAUGGGAUUUUUAUCGCCCAGCCAGCUCCUUAAGAGCAAGCCCCAACAUAUCCCCCAAAGUCCCUGUCACAGUGUUUGAGACAUAAUGCCUGUUGGCUCCAGGUUAAAUAACUGGGGAGUCUGGUGAUACACUUGAUCCUGAUUUAUUUCUCUCCAUGGCACUUAGAACCACCUUGCCUAUCAUAUGUUCCUUUAUUGUCUGUAUCCCCUGCUUAGUGUGUAAACUUCCUGGGGACAAGGAGUUUGUUUUUGAUGACUGAUGUAUUCCUAGUGCCUAGAGCAGUUCCUGGCUCAUCGUAGGCUCCCAGUAAGUAUUAGAUGGACAGAUGGACAGGUAGAUGGACAGACAGACGGUCAGACAGAUGGCUGGACCGAUGAUGGUGCCAAACGUGUAUUUAGCUUCUGUGAGCUAGGCACUGUUCAGCACUUUAUUCACAUUUUACCAUUUUCAAUCCUCGCAAUUCUAUCGUGAGCUAAAUAUUACUAGCCCGUGUUACGCAAAAUGGGACUUAGAGAGGAUGAGGGUACACAGUAAGUUAUGAGACAAAUUCAAACCCAGGUCUGACUACAAAACCCGAUUCGUUUGCUUCUGCUUAUUUAGCCACCAUGGCAGUGACUUGACAGAGCUGGAGUCCAACUCAGAAAUCAGCCAUUUUAGCUGGCACUCAGGUGAUCCUGAUAGAGAUGAUCCUGAGACCACGCUGAGAAACACGGUCCUACACAAAGCUGCCUCCAGACUUGGGUCCCCUUGGCGUUUAGACGGGGUGUGGAUACGGGGGUAGUGAGGACCCCAGAACCCCUCCAACAGCACAGCCAUCAGCAAAAGCCCUCUGUAGAAGACAGAUGUCUCCAGCAGCAAUGCAGGACAUACCUGGAGGCAGAAUUAUUCCCCAAAGGAAGGGUCCCCAGAAACCAGGUCAGUGGACCAAGUGGCAGGAAGUGAGAAUGCUGUCCUGCUGGGGCCCCUUGGGCAGGUCUCGCCUGUGGUACAUGUGAUACAUGGCAUCAGGCCCGCUGGCUUCCCUAACUCCAGGCUCGCCUGCACUCACUGUGGCUCUUGCUGCUCACCAGCAAAAAGGACUUCGGGUUUGUCGAACUCUGGUAACAGCCCGUUUAAUGAGAUGCUUCACUCUCUUCCCCAGAGCCCUGCGGUGGGCAUACUGAGGAGCAGGGGCGGCCACGACGCACUGCUUCCCCUGGGAAGUGCCCCACCGGAGCCCCCAGCCUGAGACCUUCUGCGGCUUGCAGUGACCAGGGAGAUGCAAGCACAUCGCCUUGCCCGAGCAGACAGUGCCUGUGAGCGGAUGCCAAACAGUCAGUCCUCGCCCUGGAAACUCCAGGCCCCAAGCCAGCCCCACAGAGGCCUAGACACAGUGAGCUUCUAUAACGUUUGCAAACCAGCCGCCAUUUGCAUCCCUUCUGGGAACGGAUGUCUGUGCCUUCCCUGAGGGAACCGCUGACCUCCUAGCUCAGCCCAGCUGCCGGUCAGCACACUCCACCCGCAGGCCUCAGUGACAGGUUCAGGGAAGAGCACACAGCCCAUCAGGCCAAUCUGAGAAAACAAGACCAAUUCUGGGACCUCUGUUCCAACUACUGGGAACCACUCUCUCUUCUACUUUUGACACGCCCUAAAGUUGAGCGUUGCUCCGCAAAGAGCCUGAACAUGAUGCCAACCCAGAGGAACCCGAGCUCAGAGGCGGAUCCAAAGAGCAUCACACAAGCUCCGGAUCCAGCUGUGUCUCUACCUCCAGACUAUGAAGUUCCAUGAGUGACAAGCUCUCCUCUUUUUUAAAGCAAAACACAAGGCACUUAGAGUUGAAUUUCUGGCAUUUGAUACCAAAAGACUACUUCAAGAAGAACCAUUAAAGAGGGGUGCGAUGGGCUAAACUGUGUCCCCUCAAAGUUCGUAUAGUGAAGUCCUAACCUCCAGUACCUCAGAAUAUGACUGUAUAUGGAGAUAGGGCCUGUCAAGAGGUAGUUAAGAUGAAAUCAUAUGGGUAGGCCCUAAUCCUAUGACUAGUGUCCUUACAAGACAGACAACACACAGACCAAGGGGCAACCAUGGAAGGAGAGAGCAAGAGGGAGGCCAUCUGCAAGCUGCAGAGAGAGGCCUCAGAAGAAACCAAACCUGCCAACACUUGAUCUUGGGUUUCCAGCCUCCAGAACUGUAAUAAAGUAAAAUUCUGCUGUUUAA